rnacentral:rRNA from 1 species
CCUACGGGAGGCAGCAGUGGGGAAUAUUGGGCAAUGGGCGCAAGCCUGACCCAGCAACGCCGCGUGAAGGAAGAAGGCUUUCGGGUUGUAAACUUCUUUUCUCAGGGACGAAGCAAGUGACGGUACCUGAGGAAUAAGCCACGGCUAACUACGUGCCAGCAGCCGCGGUAAUACGUAGGGGGCAAGCGUUAUCCGGAUUUACUGGGUGGAAAGGGCGUGUAGGCGGGUAAGCAAGUCAGAUGUGAAAACCAUGGGCUCAACCUGUGGCCUGCAUUUGAAAAUGUUGUUCUUGAGUACUGGAGAGGCAGACGGAAUUCCUGGUGUAGCGGUGAAAUGCGUAGAGAUUAGGAGGAACACCAGUGGCGAAGGCGGUCUGCUGGACAGCAACUGACGCUGAGGCGCGAAAGCGUGGGGAGCAAACAGGAUUAGAUACCCUGGUAGUC